rnacentral:lncRNA from 1 species
UUUUCAUUUCACAAUUGUGACUUUUCUUCUCAGCAUAGUGAGUAUAUAAUAUUUCAGAUGCAGAUCAUGUUGAUACACAUUCAAAAGAAGAGGAAUCUACAGACAUGGAUGAAAAGGCAGACACUGAUUCAGACAGCUCAGAUGGGGAUUCUGCUAGUGUGGAAAAGAAAGAUUCUGAUGAUGCACCUGAUGAUGCAAAUACUACAGAAGACACGGCUGAUUCAUCUGACAAGGAUUCUUCAGACACAGCUGAGCAGCAGGACUCUGAUGGUGAGCUUAAAAACCAUAAAAGAAAUUGAAAAAAUAACUAAAACUCUGCACUAACAAGGC